rnacentral:rRNA from 1 species
CUACGGGUCGCUGCAGUGAGGAAUUUUGCGCAAUGGGGGCAACCCUGACGCAGCAACGCCGCGUGAGUGAAGAAGGCCUUUGGGUCGUAAAGCUCUGUCAACAGGGAAGAAGUUACUUCAUAUUAAUAGUAUGUAGUAUUGACGGUACCUGUGGAGGAAGCAUCGGCUAACUCCGUGCCAGCAGCCGCGGUAAUACGGGGGAUGCAAGCGUUAUUCGGAAUCAUUGGGCGUAAAGGGCACGCAGGCGGCUCUGUCAGUCAGGUGUGAAAGCCCGGGGCUCAACCCCGGACGUGCAUUUGAAACAGCAGAGCUUGAGUACGGUAGAGGAAAGCGGAAUUCCUGGUGUAGAGGUGAAAUUCGUAGAUAUCAGGAGGAACACCGGUGGCGAAGGCGGCUUUCUGGACCGAAACUGACGCUGAGGUGCGAAGGCGUGGGUAGCGAACAGGAUUAGAUACCCCCGUAGUC